rnacentral:rRNA from 1 species
UACGUAGGGUGCAAGCGUUGUCCGGAAUUAUUGGGCGUAAAGAGCUCGUAGGCGGUUUGUCGCGUCUGCUGUGAAAACUCGGGGCUUAACCCCGAGCCUGCUUCUGAUACGGGCAGACUAGAGGUAUGCAGGGGAGAACGGAAUUCCUGGUGUAGCGGUGAAAUGCGCAGAUAUCAGGAGGAACACCGGUGGCGAAGGCGAUUCUCUAUUUUAUUCCUGACGCUGAGGCGCGAAAGUAAGGGGAUCAAACAGG